CUUUUGCAUAUCUUCCAGAUAAUACAGCUGCGUGAUUGCAUUUGCCAUUAGCGGGCGGCUGCGUCACCGUCCCCCUUAUUGGUUUGAAAUUCCAUUAAACAUAUUGCUCCAGCUCCCAGGUUUAAGCUUGAUUUACAUUUGCAUACAUUUUCAUACAUUUAGAAGAAAUAAAAAGAAGGCUGCAGCGGCGACCAGAAAGUCAUUAGAAGAGCGGAGAGAGAGGCACAAGCUGCGCUGACGGAGAACCGAGGCUGAGACCGAGGCGGGGGGGGAGAGAGAAAAGAGGCCGGAGCAGGUGCUGCCGGCAGCAGAGGCUGGUGCUGUUACAGGGUCACAGAAAGGAGCCAUGUUGGUUUUAACAACAACAAAAAAAAGGACAUAAAAGUUUACCAUCUGUUAAAUUUCAAACCGCUCACAUAAACCCGGAGCCUCCUGCACAGAGAUCACUGAAGAGGGGGGGAAAAAACGUAGAGAAGCAUGACGUGAGCUCUUCAGCACCUCUAACCCUCCCCCCCCCCCCCCCCCACACACACACACCUCCUCCUCACACACACACACACCUCCUCCUCACACACACACACACCUCCUCCUCCUCUGCCGAGUUUGAGAAGAGGCUCGUCGCCGAGGCCUCCGAUGGCACCUCGGAGCCAAAUGAAGAAGAAAAAGAGGCCAAAGUUGUUGCAAAAACGUCCCACAUGAAAUCGGCUUUCCUCCUGGAGAAAUCUCGUUCAGAAGUCAAAAGUGUGGUCGAUGUUUAAUGAAUGGCCCCCGCAAGUUUUGUGCAGGAUGUGAGCAAGUUCUCUGCCACUGCUAAACAACCAGCUGACAUACUUUCCCCCUGUGGAGCACACAAACCCACCCACAUACACACACACACACACACCAACACACACACACACACACACACACACCAACACACACACACAGACAGGUCCCUCUGAAGGAGCAGGCGGAGCUGGCAGUUGCACAUCUGCAUUUCAAACACAGACUCUCUGGGAUUCAUUAUUAAUUAGCCUGCUGAGCCCUGGAGGACUGGUGAUGCUGCCAUCUCUCUUACACACACACACACACACACACACACACACACAUACUCACGCACGCAGAAAAACACGCUCAUAAAAUGCUCAGGCACACACACACACACACACACCUCGUGACCCCGGUGCCCCCCUCUACACUUUAGAAAGUCCUCGGCUGAAUACCGAGCUGUGCAAGCGCGUUGCUUUUCCUCCCUCCCUCCAAUCACGUCGCAUCUUCCUAAUGCCUGCUGCAGGUGCUACAACAUCUACACCUACAGGAAAGACAUGGCUGCGUCCCUGCAUCCGCCCAGCAUCCACCCGUCUGCCAUUGGAGGUACAGGUGGGCAGCGUGUGAUCUCCCAGCACACAUCAUCACCUCUCCGCCUGCUUCCCUCCGGGGCCCCGGCGCGGCCCCCAGUCAGGGUUAGAAGCUCUGGCAGCAAUUUGAAUGUAAUUGCAUAAGUGAGCAAGACACCGCCAUCAUCGCCGUCUGCCUCCGAACUCUUUCAUGUCAACUGGAAGCCGCUGCUCAGCCGUCACUUUCUAUCUCCAUCCAAGCUAAGGCAGCUAACAGCGAAGCGCUCUCACACACCCCGUGAAGACCAGCGCCUCUCGGACCGACUGGAUCGGAAUCAGAGCGCUUCCUGGUUUUUGGGGACGGCGAGCGGUGCUCCGACGACCGAGAUCCGCUUCCCUGCAACACAGCCCGGCCUUUGUUGGAUGCAGAGGGAAGAAUCUGGGCCGAUCGCAAGAGAUCUGCACAAAUGUUGUUACAAGGUCUCGCUCCGAAAGGGAAUUCUCAUUCCCCUCCACCUCCACUUGGAACAUUCCCCCCUUUCUUUCAAAGAAUUGUGCGUGUAUGAUUUUUGGUUUCGUACCAAUUCCACCUGGAGUCUCGGAGCAAAGAAUAACAAAUACGGGAAACAUUUCAUCCAGAAUAAUAUGUUUGUCCAGAGACCUGUGGACUUUGGGAGGAAUGGACCCCCUGUGAUGUGGUCUGCUGCCAGUGUGUGUGUUUGUGUGUGUGUGGGUUCCUGUGUGUUUGGGUUGGACGUGUAAGACGGGUGAAGAGACUCUCCACCCCCCCAGGGCCAGGAACUCUGGGUACAGAGGAAGAGAGACCAACACACUCUCAGAUUUCCAAAGGGUGCGUGUGUGAGUGUGUGUGUGUGUGAGUGUGUGGGCGCAAACGCUGAUAUGUAUCUGUGAUACAGGAUGUGACAAAAAGUGGGCAAACAGGCAGGGCACUAAUGGGGUAAAAACUAGAAGUAUCUCUGUUAUGCUUCCUUAAACAGAAUAAGGCGAUUUCCUUCUUCACUCAUUUUAUCUUAAAAACCUCCAGGACUUUCAGAGAGCAGCAGGACUAAUGCUGAGAUGAAAUCACACAAAGCUGGACACAAAUAACUAGUGUUCACAUGGCAACCCCAUCAUAAGCAUUUAAAGUAGCAUUUUAUUAGCACGACGACUUCUGAUGGACAAGACGUCUCCCUCAAACCUGAUGAUUUUCAUUCGAUUGUCGUUGUGUCUCUGAUGUGAAGGAAAAAAUAACCCGAACUGAAUUUAUAGCAGAUAUGUUCUGAAAACAACAAAUAAAAUGUCUGUUUCCAGUC